GACGAACGCUGGCGGCGUGCUUAACACAUGCAAGUCGAACGGAAAGGCCCUGCUUUUGUGGGGUGCUCGAGUGGCGAACGGGUGAGUAACACGUGAGUAACCUGCCCUUGACUUUGGGAUAACUUCGGGAAACUGGGGCUAAUACCGGAUAGGAGCUCCUGCUGCAUGGUGGGGGUUGGAAAGUUUCGGCGGUUGGGGAUGGACUCGCGGCUUAUCAGCUUGUUGGUGGGGUAGUGGCUUACCAGGGCUUUGACGGGUAGCCGGCCUGAGAGGGUGACCGGCCGCAUUGGGACUGAGAUACGGCCCAGACUCCUACGGGAGGCAGCAGUGGGGAAUAUUGCACAAUGGGCGGAAGCCUGAUGCAGCAACGCCGCGUGCGGGAUGACGGCCUUCGGGUUGUAAACCGCUUUCGCCUGUGACGAAGCGUGAGUGACGGUAAUGGGUAAAGAAGCACCGGCUAACUACGUG
rnacentral:rRNA from 1 species